CCUACGGGGGGCAGCAGUGAGGAAUAUUGGUCAAUGGGCGCUAUCCUGAACCAGCCAAGCCGCGUGAGGGAUGACGGCCCUAUGGGUUGUAAACUUCUUUUGUAUGGGAAUAAAGUGCGGGAUGUAUACUGCUUUGCAUGUACCUUAUGAAUAAGGAUCGGCUAACUCCGUGCCAGCAGCCGCGGUAAUACGGAGGAUUCGAGCGUUAUCCGGAUUUAUUGGGUUUAAAGGGAGCGUAGGCGGGUUGUUAAGUCAGUUGUGAAAGUUCGAGGGUCAACCGUAAAAUUGCAGUUGAUACUGGCAGCCUUGAGUACAGUAGAGGUAGGCGGAAUGCGUGGUGUAGCGGUGAAAUGCUUAGAUAUCACGAAGAACUCCGAUUGCGAAGGCAGCCUGCUGGACUGUAACUGACGCUGAUGCACGAAAGUGUGGGGAUCAAACAGGAUUAGAUACCCUAGUAGUC
rnacentral:rRNA from 1 species